rnacentral:lncRNA from 13 species
AUGGCUCUGGUCUGCCCUGCCUCAGACACCAAGAUGGUCCGCUUCCUCCGACACACAGCUAACUCCUCGAUCAUGAAGAACAUCUUCCACCAGUCGUUUAAUGCGUAUAAGACCGACAUCGAGCCCCGUCUCAACGACCUGACACUGCACCGCAUGCAGUGCAGUAGACGUCUAUUUGACAUCCAGCUGUCUCACCGGAGAGUCAGUGCCGCCUACAUAGAGGGAGACAAUGUGUCUGUGACCGUGGAGGGGGAGGCGGUACGGGUGCUCAACUUCGACACAGGUUGUGGGGUGAACCUGGGGAUGAGGGGUCUUGAGUCCUUGGGAACAUUUAUCUACCACACGGCCACGGCUGUGGACCAGAAUGA